rnacentral:ncRNA from 1 species
GAUGAACAAAGGCAACUCCGCCGAAAGGCGGAAGACGCAAAGCCACCGGUCUAAACCGCAGAAACAGCGGCAUGACAGCGGGGACGCUCAU